AACGAACGCUGGCGGCAUGCCUAACACAUGCAAGUCGAACGAAGCCUUCGGGCUUAGUGGCGCACGGGUGCGUAACGCGUGGGAAUCUGCCCCUUGCUUCGGAAUAACAGUUAGAAAUGACUGCUAAUACCGGAUGAUGUCUUCGGACCAAGGAUUUAUCGGCAAGGGAUGAGCCCGCGUAGGAUUAGGUAGUUGGUGGGGUAAAGGCCUACCAAGCCGACGAUCCUUAGCUGGUCUGAGAGGAUGAUCAGCCACACUGGGACUGAGACACGGCCCAGACUCCUACGGGAGGCAGCAGUGGGGAAUAUUGGACAAUGGGGGGAACCUUGAUCCAGCAAUGCCGCGUGAGUGAUGAAGGCCUUAGGGUUGUAAAGCUCUUUUACCAGGGAUGAUAAUGACAGUACCUGGAGAAUAAGCUCCGGCUAACUCCGUGCCAGCAGCCGCCGUAAUAC
rnacentral:rRNA from 1 species